AAGCUCAGAUGCGAGCUGCAGAAGUACCAGGGCCUGCUGGACACGAACGGGCAGCGAUCGAGCCUGAGCGAGCCGGAGAGCAACCUGAGCCGGUCGGCCAGCGACUCCUCGAUGAACCAGCCGGCCGGCGCGGCGCCGCCGGCCGCCGCGCCGCGGGGCUCCUCCUCCAGCGCCGCCGCCGGCCGCCAGACGGUGCACGCCGCCACUCUGCCUAGUCACAUCUCGUCCAACAGUCCGGAGUCGGGUCUGGGC